rnacentral:rRNA from 1 species
GACGAACCGUGCGAACGUUGUUCGGAAUCAUUGGGCUUAAAGGGCGCGUAGGCGGGCCGCCGAGUCCGGGGUGAAAUCCUCCAGCUCAACUGGAGAACGGCCCCGGAUACUGGAGGUCUCGAGGGGGGUAGGGGCACGCGGAACUGUGGGUGGAGCGGUGAAAUGCGUUGAUAUCCACAGGAACUCCGGUGGCGAAGGCGGCCCGCUGGGAUCGAGCUGACGCUGAGGCGCGACAGCGUGGGGAGCAAACAGG